rnacentral:rRNA from 1 species
GAUGAACGCUGGCGGCGGGCCUAAUACAUGCAAGUCGAGCGAAGCGGGGACGGGUGAGUAACACGUGGAUAACCUCCUAUAAGACUAGGAUAACAUCGGGAACCCGGAGCUAUACCGGAUACUUAUAGAUUGAUCCGCGCUGCAUAAGCUAGUUGGUAAGGGAACGGCUUACCAAGGCAACGAUGCAUAGCCGACCUGAGAGGGUGAUCGGCAACACUGGAAAUGAGACACGGUCCAGACUCCGACGGGAGGCAGCAGGAGGGAAUCGUCCGCAAUGGGCGCAAGCCUGACGGAGCAACGCGGCGUGUGUGAUGAAGGUCUUCGGAUCGUAAAACACUGUUAUUAGGGAAGCGGUACCUAAUCAGGAAGCAACGGCUAACUACGUGCCAGUAGCCGCGGUAAAAC